rnacentral:rRNA from 1 species
CGAACGGGUGAGUAAUGCGUGACCAACCUGCCCCAUGCUCCAGAAUAGCUCUUGGAAACGGGUGGUAAUGCUGGAUGCUCCAACUUGACGCAUGUCUUGUUGGGAAAGUGUUUAGUGGCAUGGGAUGGGGUCGCGUCCUAUCAGCUUGUAGGCGGGGUAAUGGCCCACCUAGGCUUCGACGGGUAGCCGGCCUGAGAGGGCGGACGGCCACAUUUGGACUGAGAUACGGCCCAGACUCCUACGGGAGGCAGCAGAC